rnacentral:tRNA from 1 species
AGUUUAUGAACUUGAAUAAGUUUAUACUUUGAAAGUAUACAAAAGAAUUUAAAUUUCUAUAAACUU